ACUGACUUCUGUGCGUGCUGG
rnacentral:miRNA from 1 species